rnacentral:rRNA from 1 species
AUGGUCCUUGAUUUGAUCACAUCCUUAUCGAUUGAAGAAAAUUUUGUCACUACAUUAGAUAGCCAUCAACCUAGUGAUCUUUCAAAGAAGAUACAUCGAUUAUCCAUCCAAAACAAUCAAGAACAUCACACCAUGUCACUUUCUAUGCUGAGCUUGUCCCACGUGAGAUCAUUUAUCAUCUUUCCUAGUGCUACAAAAUUGAUGCCGCCUCUUUCAAGAUUUCAAGUUCUGCGAGUGUUGGAUCUAGAAGGUUGCCGUGACUUGGUGAAUCAUCAUAUUGAUGGUGUUGGGAAUUUAUUUCAUUUGAGGUAUCUAGGACUAAGGGAUACAAAUAUUACCAAAAUCCCGAAAGGAGUAGGGAAUCUGUACUGUUUGCAAACAUUGGAUUUGAGUCAAAGUGGCAUAAUUGAUCUGCCAUCAACCAUUGUUCAGUUAAGGAAACUUGUAUGCCUAUACAUUGAAACAUCGGCAAAGCUACCAGAUGGGAUUGGAGCCAUGAAAUCUCUACAGGUUCUAUCUACCGUCGGUGUGAGUAACUCGCCAAACUUCUCAAAGGAACUAGGUUAUCUUUCGGAUAUGAGGGUUCUUAAAAUUUCGCUAUCUGGAACAUGGGACAAGAACUAUGAGAAACAUUUGUUAUGUUCUUUGUGCAAGUUGACAAAAAUCAAGGAAAUAAGCAUUCAAUCUUCCGGUGUUCCCACAAAAUUCAUUGUGGAUUUAGGAUGGACCCCUCACAACCUUCAAUAUUUUUUCGGCAACAUACCUAGAUUGCCGGAAUGGAUGAACUCCUCACUCUCAAAACUGUCCACUUUAAUCAUCACAUUAGACAAAAUCCAGCAGGAAGACCUUGGUACUCUCGGCAACAUCCCAUUUCUGAAUUAUCUCUGUGUUACAGUGCACAAAAUCAAAAAGGCAGAAGAAAGGUUGAUUAUCGGUACUGAUCAUGCAAACUUUAAGUGCCUAUCUGAGUUUCACAUUCACAAUGAUUCAUUGGGGAUCAUGUUUGUAGAAGGAGCUAUGCCAAGGCUCCAAACCCUCGAGGUUACAUUUCAGGUUCGCGAGGCGAAGGAUGAAUACAAUAAUUUUGAGGUCGGCUUGGAGAACCUCCAUUCUAUUAAGCUGGUCACAAUUCGAAUGCAUUGUUCUGGUUCCAGUCUCGUUGAGGUGGAGGAAGCUGAUGCUGCUAUGAGGAAGACAUCCCAUGUGAAUCCAAAACAUCCGAGGGUUGACGUGAUUACAUAUUAUGAAGAUGAAAUGAUAGAGGACGAGGAGAAAUCUCAACUCGAUGAGGAAGCAUUCAAAGAACAAGAGGUAUUAAUUAUUGUCUUCUUUAGUCGCACUAAAAUAAAAAGUACACGAUCCAAGUUAGUGUUCCAUUUUGUUACUUAUUCCUAA